rnacentral:rRNA from 1 species
AGCGAACGCUGGCGGCAGGCCUAACACAUGCAAGUCGAACGGAUCCUUCGGGAUUAGUGGCGGACGGGUGAGUAACACGUGGGAACGUGCCCUUGGUUCGGAACAACUCAGGGAAACUUGAGCUAAUACCGGAUGUGCCCUUCGGGGGAAAGAUUUAUCGCCAUUGGAGCGGCCCGCGUCUGAUUAGCUAGUUGGUGAGGUAACGGCCCACCAAGGCGACGAUCAGUAGCUGGUCUGAGAGGAUGAUCAGCCACACUGGGACUGAGACACGGCCCAGACUCCUACGGGAGGCAGCAGUGGGGAAUCUUGCGCAAUGGGCGAAAGCCUGACGCAGCCAUGCCGCGUGAAUGAUGAAGGUCUUAGGAUUGUAAAAUUCUUUCAGCGGGGACGAUAAUGACGGUACCCGCAGAAGAAGCUCCGGCUAACUUCGUG